rfam:Ancylostoma duodenale strain Zhejiang A_duodenale-1.0_Cont4630.4, whole genome shotgun sequence.
AAACUUACCUGGCUGGGGGCGUCUCGCGAUCAUCAAGGCGGAACCCCCAUGGUGAGGCCCGCGCAUUGCACUUUCGCCCGGGCUGACCCGUGUGGCAGUCUCGAACUGAGAUUCGCCAACAGCUAAAUUUUUGUGUGUGGGGCUGCGUACGCGCGGCCCUGA